AGUGAACGCUGGCGGUAGGCCUAACACAUGCAAGUCGAACGGCAGCACAGUAAGAGCUUGCUCUUACGGGUGGCGAGUGGCGGACGGGUGAGGAAUACAUCGGAAUCUACUUUUUCGUGGGGGAUAACGUAGGGAAACUUACGCUAAUACCGCAUACGACCUACGGGUGAAAGCAGGGGAUCUUCGGACCUUGCGCGAUUGAAUGAGCAGAUGUCGGAUUAGCUAGUUGGCGGGGUAAAGGCCCACCAAGGCGACGAUCCGUAGCUGGUCUGAGAGGAUGAUCAGCCACACUGGAACUGAGAGACGGUCCAGACUCCUACGGGAGGCAGCAGUGGGGAAUAUUGGACAAUGGGCGCAAGCCUGAUCCAGCCAUACCGCGUGGGUGAAGAAGGCCUUCGGGUUGUAAAGCCCUUUUGUUGGGAAAGAAAAGCAGCAGGUUAAUACCCCGCUGUUCUGACGGUACCCAAAGAAUAAGCACCGGCUAACUUCGUG
rnacentral:rRNA from 1 species